UACAGAGGGGGCAAGCGUUGUUCGGAAUUACUGGGCGUAAAGGGCGCGUAGGCGGCCUGUUAAGUCGAACGUGAAAUCCCCGGGCUCAACCCGGGAACUGCGUCCGAUACUGGCAGGCUUGAAUUCGGGAGAGGGAUGUGGAAUUCCAGGUGUAGCGGUGAAAUGCGUAGAUAUCUGGAGGAACACCGGUGGCGAAGGCGGCAUCCUGGACCGAGAUUGACGCUGAGGCGCGAAAGCCAGGGGAGCAAACGGG
rnacentral:rRNA from 1 species